rnacentral:rRNA from 1 species
CACGUAGGGGGCGAGCGUUGUCCGGAUUUACUGGGCGUAAAGAGCGCGCAGGCGGUCGUUCAAGUCGCGUGUGAAAGCCCCCGGCUCAACUGGGGAGGGUCACGCGAUACUGAUCGACUCGAAGGCAGGAGAGGGAAGUGGAAUUCCCGGUGUAGUGGUGAAAUGCGUAGAUAUCGGGAGGAACACCAGUGGCGAAGGCGACUUCCUGGCCUGUUCUUGACGCUGAGGCGCGAAAGCCAGGGGAGCAAACGGG